rnacentral:rRNA from 1 species
UACGUAGGGUGCAAGCGUUGUCCGGAAUUAUUGGGCGUAAAGAGCUCGUAGGCGGCCUGUCGCGUCGGCUGUUAAAACUCGGGGCUCAACUCCGAGCUUGCAGUCGAUACGGGCAGGCUAGAGUUCGGCAGGGGAGACUGGAAUUCCUGGUGUAGCGGUGAAAUGCGCAGAUAUCAGGAGGAACACCGGUGGCGAAGGCGGGUCUCUGGGCCGAUACUGACACUGAGGAGCGAAAGCGUGGGGAGCGAACAGG